rnacentral:rRNA from 1 species
UGGGGAAUAUUGCACAAUGGGGGAAACCCUGAUGCAGCGACGCCGCGUGAGUGAAGAAGUAUUUCGGUAUGUAAAGCUCUAUCAGCAGGGAAGAGAAUGACGGUACCUGACUAAGAAGCCCCGGCUAACUACGUGCCAGCAGCCGCGGUAAUACGUAGGGGGCAAGCGUUAUCCGGAUUUACUGGGUGUAAAGGGAGCGUAGACGGCAUAGCAAGUCUGAAGUGAAAUACCCGGGCUCAACCUGGGAACUGCUUUGGAAACUGUUAAGCUGGAGUGCUGGAGAGGCAAGCGGAAUUCCUAGUGUAGCGGUGAAAUGCGUAGAUAUUAGGAGGAACACCAGUGGCGAAGGCGGCUUGCUGGACAGUAACUGACGUUGAGGCUCGAAAGCGUGGGGAGCAAACA